rnacentral:piRNA from 2 species
UGUCUUUUUUUCCUUUAUUACCUGUGGUC